rnacentral:snoRNA from 1 species
AAACCAUGAUGAGGACACUCUAAGAGAAGAUCCUUAAAACGUUCCAUACACCUAGAAAAUGAUUCAUUGGAUUUUUUACAAAACUGGUGAAUGUCGUUCCUAAGUUU